rnacentral:rRNA from 1 species
CCUACGGGAGGCAGCAGUAGGGAAUCUUUCACAAUGGGCGAAAGCCUGAUGGAGCAACGCCGCGUGCAGGAUGAAGGCCUUCGGGUUGUAAACUGCUUUUAUAAGCGAGAAAUAUGAUGGUAACUUAUGAAUAAGGAUCGGCUACCUACGUGCCAGCAGCCGCGGUCAUACGUAGGAUACGAGCAUUAUCCGGAGGGACUGGGGGUAAAGAGUGGCGUAGGUGGCAUAAUAAGUAGCUAGUGAAAACUGGUGGCUCAAACAUUCAGACUAUUAGCUAAACUGUCAAGCUCGAGACGGUUAGGGGUAACUGGAAUGCGUAGUGUAGGAGUGAAAUCCGUAGAUAUUA